UACGGGGGGGGCAAGCGUUGUUCGGAAUUACUGGGCGUAAAGGGCUCGUAGGCGGCCAACUAAGUCAGACGUGAAAUCCCUCGGCUUAACCGGGGAACUGCGUCUGAUACUGGAUGGCUUGAGUUUGGGAGAGGGAUGCGGAAUUCCAGGUGUAGCGGUGAAAUGCGUAGAUAUCUGGAGGAACACCGGUGGCGAAGGCGGCAUCCUGGACCAACACUGACGCUGAGUGAGCGAAAGCCAGGGGGAGCAAAACGGG
rnacentral:rRNA from 1 species